rnacentral:lncRNA from 1 species
AUGUUUAAGACAAUACUUGUGUUCAUUCUAUUGUUUACAGGAUAUCCUUGUAAUUCUGCGUAUGAAAACAAAACAGGUGAUAUUACACCUUCAAAGAGAGAUUAUGAAAAUACCCUAAAUUCUUCACUAGAUCUUGCAACUGGAACACAGGACCGUGAUCAUGUUGCAGGAAGAAGUCUGCCAACUCUAGUAGUGGCAGGAGUCAGCAUUGCCCUUGUGUUGCUCUGUGUUCUUAUCGUUUCUGUUUUUUGGUAUGCAUGGAAAAAAUCACAGGAAGGUUCAAUUGAACUCAAUCCUAUCCCCUACGGUGAGGCUGAAGUGUCCUUACGAAGCGUUUCGAUGCCUGAGAACCAAAAGGAGUGGCCUUUUGAGAGAGCAGUGCAGUGA